rnacentral:sRNA from 1 species
UUUUAGCCCUGACAGCAGCGGGCAUCCCGGUUUUCCAUCGGGAUAAAGCGGAUGGCAGGAACUUCC